rnacentral:tRNA from 1 species
GCGCGAGUGGCGGAAUUGGCAGACGCGCAGAAUUUAGGUUCCUGUACCGAAAGGUGUGGGGGUUCGACUCCCCCCUCGCGCA